rnacentral:rRNA from 1 species
GACGAACGCUGUCGGCGUGCUUAACACAUGCAAGUCGAACGGAAAGGCCCUGCUUUUUUUGGGUGCUCGAGUGGCGAACGGGUGAGUAACACGUGAGUAACCUGCCCUUGACUUUGGGAUAACUUCAGGAAACUGGGGCUAAUACCGGAUAGGAGCUCCUGCUGCAUGGUGGGGGUUGGAAAGUUUCGGCGGUUGGGGAUGGACUCGCGGCUUAUCAGCUUGUUGGUGGGGUAGUGGCUUACCAAGGCUUUGACGGGUAGCCGGCCUGAGAGGGUGACCGGCCACAUUGGGACUGAGAUACGGCCCAGACUCCUACGGGAGGCAGCAGUGGGGAAUAUUGCACCAUGGGCGGCAGCCUGAUGCAGCAACGCCGCGUGCGGGAUGACGGCCUUCGGGUUGUAAACCGCUUUCGCCUGUGACGAAGCGUGAGUGAAGGUAAUGGGUAAAGAAGCACCGGCUAACUACGUG